UGAUAUUUUUAAAUUGUUAUUGCCCCCGCCCCUUUUUUUUUAUUACUGAAACCAAUUACACAGUGCCAACUUCGCCGCCUUUUUAGCAAGGAAAGCGCAACUACCCUUGAGAGACUAUCGGAAAGUUCUGGAUGUAAACCCCCCAGCAAACCACGCCUCUCAUGACGGCAGACAACAGGCUGAUGGAUUUGGGAGCCACGGGCCGGGUUUCCCUGUCAGCCGUACCCUUCAACUCUGCUCCGUGAGGCGGGACUCACCGUAAACUUCGUGUUCAAGCUUAGAGCGAGGCAAAUGCAGGAGGUGGCGAGCCGCAGGUAGUUACGAAAGCCUCGGUGGGGUCUGCCUCCAUGCCCGCUCGGGCACGGCAGCGCCGGCAGCUCCCUGAGGGCGCCCGGAGCGCCGCCAUUUCCCCUCAGGCGCUUCCUGCCUUGUCUGACAACACCGGGCCUGAGCCUGCCACAGCACUCCUCGUUAGUAUAGUGUCGGGAACAUGGCUGGAAGAGUGUGGCGGAGAGCAGUUGACGUCCGCGGCGGUGGCGCCGGGCAUUGGGCAGCCGUGAUCGUAUAGUGCAGGAAGAAACAAAGAAACGAGGGAAUUCGGAGCCACUCCCCGAGAGUCUCAGCUCAGAGCAGGAACCCUCCAGCAGGAAAAGGAUUGUCCCCAGGAAUGCCCCCGUUCUUUUGCACAGGGCGAGGCGGGGCUGCCCCCGGCCCGCCCGGCGCCGUGGCUUAGCUGGUUAAAGCGCCUGUCUAGUAAACAGGAGAUCCUGGGUUCGAAUCCCAGCGGUGCCUGGGUUAUCCAUGGCGUUCCCCGUAGGUUUAUUUUGGGAGAGCCGCCUCUGUCCCCUCGCCGGGUUUCUUCCCACUCAUCCCGUGCCCGCAGCAGCGCAGCGCGGCCCAAGCUGCUCGUGUCUGCACUGUAGCAGGAUAAGCUGGGCAGGGCGCCGAUCGUUUUCAUCACUUACACUGCAGGGACGGCGGGGUCUCCCUGUCCCCAUGAGCCGCCCCCUCGAGGGGCGUCCUCUAGCGCUGACGGAGUCCCGGCCCGUGUCGGUUCUUACAGGAAAUCGGGCUGUGCCCUCCUGCGGAGACCGCCCGUGACGGGGCAGCCCUGAGCAGGGCCUUUCCUUCAGCCCCUCGCUUCCUCACGUCCGGCAGGACACUGUCCUCCACACGCAUCCGCCCCGGCCAAUCAAACCGUAACCCCAGCGGCGGCAGCUUUUACUUGGCUCUGCAGGCGAACACGGCAGGGUGUGGGCGCCUCCAAAAGGUGGGAGUUUUCUCCCGCUUCUGCUGAUCUGCCCAAGGAGUGCUGGAAGAAACCACGCCAGAAGGCCCCAUCACGUGGGCGAGGCCCAAAAAGGGCUGCUGGCCCGUACGGGGAUCGAACCCGCGACCUUGGCGUUAUUAGCACCACGCUCUAACCAACUGAGCUAACCGGCCACUCGCUUGGGGUGUUUAUCAUCAGUACUUUACAUGUCAGAUACAGCCAGGGCGGUGCUGACUGCGGCUGCCGUGGCACCGACCCCGACGGAGCCAAUCCGUGACGGCGUUUCCUGCCCGGAACAGAGGCGCAAAUGCGUGGGCACCACGCGUGUCCCUGGCGCACUUGCCUCCUGCGCUGGCCCAGCCGCGGCUGGGCACGGACGGCGCCCCGUCAGCGCCCACCCGCGUUUGACCGGACCAUGCAUCAAAACAGCGCCUCACAGGGCACAAGCAGAAAAGGCGAUGUCAGGAGUGGGAUUCGAACCCACGCCUCCAGGGGAGACUGCGACCUGAACGCAGCGCCUUAGACCGCUCGGCCAUCCUGACUGCUGUGGGAACGUUCUGGCCGGCCCAAUUCGGUUCCGCAGCAGUCCGGAGCUCCCCCGAGCCAGCGCAGGGUAAGCGUCCAUCGUUUCUGGCACCUGAACAGACAGGAUGCCGGGAUAGCAGAGCACUCCAGCUGCCUUUUGCAGCCCUCAGGCGCUGUAUAAGCGCCCCUGAAAGGCCACCCUGAAACAGCACUCAGCAGCAGGAACCACUGUUCUGUCACCCCCUCCAGAGAUCACAGGUGAAGGGCGCUCUCAACCCCCCACAAGAGACCAAGGAUUUUUGGGUUACAAAGACCUUCUUGCAUUAGAGCAGUCCAGAGACCAGGACUAACAUUAGAGAUACAGUUUUGCUCAAACCUGUAGAUAACUGUGCAAACCGAAGUCACUUAUUUAUUAUUACUUAAAAAUAAUUGUGUGAUUUUGGUAUUCAAAGUCAAUUCACAUCACUUUGCAGCAGAAAUCUGCCAGUUCAUGCGAUGGCAGCUAAAGGUAGGUGCUAGACCUUCAACUUCAGACUGUCCUCAAAACUAAUAGUCAGGAAAAAAAAUCCCCACAAUUAGAAACUCAGGUUCUGUUUUACAGAAAAAUAAAAGAAAUCUAAGUCCCUGCUUCAGUAAAUGUUCUGAGCAGGGUAGAAAAAGUCCUCCUCAAGAACAAAGGAGAAAGUGAAGUAUUUGUGAUGGUGGAACAGCAGGCCAGGGGCCUUACAAACUGAACCCUGACUUGAGCCGACCGAAACCGUGAGAAAGCUGCCAGCUCUUUGUGAGAAGAGAGUCCUGCAGCAGUGGAAAACAACCUGCUCUCUCUGAGAAGAAACUCUAGGACUGUGAAAAACAUUAGCCACCUGCAUGAACUUUUUGCAACCCUUAGGUAGAAAAAUGAAAACAUAUAACAACUUUUUCUGCAUGUACACACCAGGGGAUUGAGUGACCAGUCAGUACAGGGUAACAACUUGUUACUACCCAAUCAGGGAUAGACACAGGGUGUUCUUUAAAACUCUAUAUAAAGAGACAUGGGAAUAAACUGACCCC